rnacentral:misc_RNA from 1 species
AACGAGGCCGACCUGCGGCUGAGUUACCUGCGGAGGGAUCAUUACACAAUACAAUAUGAAGGCUGUCCGCAGCUGGAGUAUUUUAUUACCCUUGUCUUUUGCGCACUUGUUGUUUCCUGGGCGGGUUCGCUCGCCACCAGGACCACCAAAUAAACCUUUUUUAUGCAGUUGCAAUCAGCGUCAGUACAAACAAUGUAAAUCAUUUACAACUUUCAACAAUGGAUCUCAGAUCGGAAGAGC